AACGAACGCUGGCGGCAGGCUUAACACAUGCAAGUCGAACGCCCCGCAAGGGGAGUGGCAGACGGGUGAGUAACACGUGGGGAUCUGCCCAAUGGUACGGAAUAAUUCCGGGAAACUGGGACUAAUACCGUAUGUGCCCGCAAGGGGAAAGAUUUAUCGCCAUUGGAUGAACCCGCGUCGGAUUAGCUAGUUGGUGUGGUAAAGGCGCACCAAGGCGACGAUCCGUAGCUGGUCUGAGAGGAUGAUCAGCCACACUGGGACUGAGACACGGCCCAGACUCCUACGGGAGGCAGCAGUGGGGAAUAUUGGACAAUGGGCGCAAGCCUGAUCCAGCCAUGCCGCGUGAGUGAUGAAGGCCUUAGGGUUGUAAAGCUCUUUCGCCGACGAAGAUAAUGACGGUAGUCGGAGAAGAAGCCCCGGCUAACUUCGUGCCAGCCGCCGCCGUAAAAC
rnacentral:rRNA from 1 species